UAUUCCCUUGGUUUGCUUUUAGAAAUGUUAAAUGAAGUGUUUCAAUGUAGACAAAACCUUGGAGGAAUGUUCAAGCUUACAUUUAACUCUUUUAAAAUGAGGCCUGAUGAUUUUUUCUAGUAUAUAGCUUUCCCGACCUUUGCUGGUAGGGCUGAAAUUUGGUUUGUUUAUGUAGUUAGUUUUCCUUAAGCUCCUGAAUUCUUUGCAGGGGAAAAUCUGCUUAGUUAAAGCAGUUUAAACCAAAACAGAGAUUGAAGCCGUUUAUUGCUAUAAACUAACAAGACCUAAUUAACCAGCAGUCAAUGAAAUGCACAUUCAAGAUUCAAAUCAUUACUACAACAGGUAAUGUUUUGUCAGUGCAUAGUGUUAUGGUUUAAUGAACAAAUUUAUUCUGUGACUAAUCUCAAGGAGUUUAAAAAAUACAUGUGCAUGACCACAGCUACAGGCAGCCCACCCCCACUCUGAAGGACACGUGGAUUACAAAAAACGCCUCUUUUUUCCAAGUGUGGCUCCCUGCCUGUACACAAUGCUUUUGGGAGAGGAGGGGUCUCAGCUUGGUGUGAAGCUGCUGAUUCACAUGGCAGUUAGAGAAGCACGCGACAUCUUCACAUGCAUGCAGCUGAUAGGGGUAAGAUGCUGCACCCUAUGGAUAGCAUACUGCACUAACAGUCCCCUGGCUGGCUGCAGCCUUUAUGAUGUGUUCCAGGAGUAUGCUCUGUCUUGGUCUUGGCUGAAGUCGUGAUGCUGGUGGUGACUUACAGCAGCGUGAAACUAAGUUUGGAUUCCAAACAUGUCUCCUCAGCUGUCCCCCAGAGAUGUCAUGCUGCUUUUGUGCUUCUUUUUAGGCUGACACCUUCUUUGUUUCAGAAGUCUCUUGGAACAUUCCUGGUUGCUGUUUCAUCUGGCCAAUGUUGCUUUCUUCCUUAUUUUGGGCAAAUGUCCUCAGUCUGGUCUACUAUGCACACAAACACCUGCACCCUUCUUAGGUCCAAGUUUUUAUCCUAAUGCUUGUUAGCAAAGUGCUUUUGGCAAGGAGAGGGGACUGUCCUGGUACACCACACUAAAGAACUCGUAGGGUAAAAUUUGCUGCAUCUAUUUGACUGAAAUAAGCUAUGGUAGCAAAAUACACUUUUGAUAUUUCACUGUCCGGAUUCCAUCUCUUUUCCUUUCACUCUUUAACACUGACUGUAUAAUUCGGUCUCAAAAAUCUUUUAUAUAUAUGAAAGUAGUAGUAAAGUAAUUACAUAAGUAGUAAAUGUUUUGACUCUGUAUCAUAACCUUGUCUUCCUCUUUCAGUAACAGAUCUACAUUCUCUUCUUUCUGUCACUUGUUAUGUAUUUAUAAAAACUUUCUACAUGUUGGUGUCAAUGGCCUUUUUUAGUUAAAACUCAUUUUUGUUUUCUAGUCUUAGAUUUCUGUUCAUGCAUGCUUUGUGCUGUUUACUCUUACUUCACUUUAGUAUGCAUCUGUUUCCAUAUUUCCUAUUGCUUUUUGGUUUUCAGAUCAUUAAAGAACUCUAGAUGAAGCCAUAUCAGGACCUUACCAUGCUUCCUAUCAUUGUUCCACAUCACGAUGGUUUGUCACUGUGUCAUUUAAUGCUGUCUUUUAGUAACUACUGCUUUUCUUGGAAUCCUUUUUCCCUUCGUCCUUCUAGAACUCCUCACCAUAGGUCCUUGCUUAGUAAUUCAAAGUUUCUGUUUUUAAAGAGUUCAGCAUUCACCUUAUUUGAUAUCCUCACAUUCCUCAAGUCAUUCAUCGUCAUGCUCAAAACUGCCCUACACGCUUGUGUGCAAUUACAGUAUCUCUGUUACUCAGAAUUGAAGGAGUUGUUACUUUUCCCCUUUGCCCAUAAGUGACUUUCAUUUUAUGAAAAAUAUUUAUCAGACUCACUGCAAGAGUUUGAUAGUUUCUGGCUUCUGAUGCAGCUUUUCAAACACAUUUUUAGAUGACUUAAGAUCUCUUGUUGAUACUGACGCCUGUCUUUGGAUGCUUCUGUGCAACUUUGCUAUAAAUAAGUACCAUAAAGGGUGCCAUUGAGCAUAGAUAGCACUGAAGGUUUAAAUCUGCAGCUGUGAGCAGCUUUAGGCAUUUUCUGUAAGUCUUAAUGUAGGGGCAUUAUUUUUAAAUAACAGUAAACUGCAAUUGUACGGCAAAGAAUACAUUAGAGGUGAGCCUGCUAAAAGUAUGAAGGUAUAAAUGAUAACUGGGAAGGUUUGUUAGCAAUCUGUCUCAUGUUGUUUGUCUUGAUUUGUCUUUCAUUUGCUAGAGUAUGCUACGAGCGAGCCACCUUCAGUCCAACAAUCCAGACAUUCAUCCUUUCUGCCAUUUGGCAUGGGGUUUACCCAGGAUAUUACUUAACAUUUUUAACAGGAGUACUAAUGACACUAGCAGCACGAGCUAUUAGAAACAAUAUCAGACACUAUUUUGUUGACUCUCCUGCUGUUAAACUAUGUUAUGAUAUUAUAACAUGGAUGACAACACAAGUAGCAAUAAGUUACACAGUUGUGCCAUUUGUACUGCUUUCUGUGAAACCCUCCUUCACCUUUUACAGCUCCUGCUAUUUCUGUCUUCAUAUCGCCAGCAUCCUGGUGUUGUUGGUAUUUCCAUUGAAAAGAACUCAAAAAGGAAAUAAAAAGCAUGAAAGCAUCCAGCCAGUGUGGUCCAAAAAACUAGAAGAAGAAAAUCUUUUGCAAAAGAACAGUUAUUCCACAACAAAUAAUAGUUUCAGUCAGAAAGAAGAAAUAACCUGCAGAUAUCAAGCACUAAAGCAGUGAUUGAGGAAAAUUAUAAUCAAUAUAUUUUGUAUGUUUUCAGAAACCCAUUUUUAGCACCUUUUAAAGGGGUUUGUAUUUGUUUGCAAAGAUGUUUAGUAUGAAAAGAAUGCAUUACCUAGGAAAAUCACAUACAAUAGCAAGACUGGAAACAAAACAGAUUAACCCCUCCCAUGCCAUGUCCCGGUGGGUCACGCCUUAUAUGAAGAUAUUACCAUUAUUUCAAUGGGCACUCAGGACUUGCAACGUAUGUCCAUAGGGUCAUAUGUGUGCCCUCUGCUGAAUGUACGUUGUGUAUCCCAAGGCACUGAUGGGGUGAAAUGAAAUCGUGUCAAUCUAGGAUUAACAAAUGGAAAUUAAUUUUUCCAAAUGAAUGACUUGCCUUAAACCCUCUAUUUACUGAAACACUGUUUCUAAGUGGUAUUUUCAAGUCUGAUUUUGUGGAAAGUAUUUCAAAUAUUUAAUACUAUAUGCUAUAAAGAAGAUACAAAUAUGAAAUGCAAAGUCAUUGGAAGGUUUUUGAACCUCUUCUCUAAAAGGGAAUUGCAAUAAGCAUCUCAGUAUUUGGAGGGUUUUCUUAAAGUAUCUCAAACAAUUACAGUACAUUAUGGAACUGUAAACAUUACUGAUGCCAAAUUAUAGUUAGGUUUCUGUGACAGAAUCUAAUAAAGCAUAGCCCUUCUGAACAGAUUAAAAAAAAAAAUCAUCUUAAGGUUCACCUUUUCCAGGGCUUCACAGCUCUAACUUAGGUUUCCUUUAAUUUCAAGUACAUAAAAACAACAAAAAACAUCACUGAGUGGGCUUUGCAGUUAGAGAAGGAAAGGCAGCCAAAGGAUGCUGAAGACAAUGUGCAAGCACCAGAACUUCAAUGGAAACUUGUUUUACCCUUAAAUACCAGAAAUAUUUGUUCAAGAAUAUAAUUAUUUUACCAAAAAAGAGGUUUUAGUACUUAAAGUAAUUUUGAAUUUUAAGGCAUACAGUAGUUGAUGAUGCUAGCAGUGAUUGACUUGAGAUCUAGUUCAUAAUCAACUAUGAAAUCACCAUGAUGAACAAGAUCUGUAUGCUUGAUCAUUGAUUUCCCUUUAUGCAAAGUGUAUGAACUGGGGGAAAAGAUUUAUCUUUAGAUUAGUAUUUUAGAUGCAGGUUUCGCAUGGCACUUGUAGGUAAAAUAAUGAAAGAAAGAAAUGCGUGAGAAUAUCUAACCGACUGAAUCAUGGCAGAAAGUGAAGGGAAUGAUGCAUUGGUUCUAUCUGCUCCAGACCAUUUGUUGAGAUGAUGGUCACUGCUGUUUCAAAGGGCUACAUUUUAAUUGUUUGUAUCCUGUGUUACC